ACACCUCAAUUUUCCUUCUUCUGAAGGAUAAAUGUAAAACAUCUUGUUCGAAGGAUUGAAAUUCAUCAAUUAGAAUAAAAGGAGAAAACACAGAAACAAGACCAGAAUAAAUUCAAAGACAAAAGUCAGAUCAGUUAUUAUUUUCAUCACUCAGUCAAUGAAUUGAAGUUCUAUUAAAUAUCUAAAGUCAAAAGAUAUUAAAACCACAAUAAUGACAAUGUUCUGUGCUGAAUGGCCAAAAAGUGUACUAUACAUUACGAUCACACAAUGCUGGAUGAUAAGAAACUAUUAAUUUUUUGGGUGGAGGGAUAUCCUGAAAAAAAAUAGAUUUAUGUAAAAAGCUACUAGUAUGUUAAGCCUAAUAAAAGAGUUUUCAUUGAUUUCAAAUGGGAAAAAUUGUGUUUCAAAAAAGUAUUCUAGAAUUCAUAAAUAAACAUAUAUUGAUACUUACAUUA